AAACAAAAAAGAGAUCGACUUUGAAAAAAAAAAAAAAUUUAGAUAAGUAAUAAAAAUUUUAUUUAAUUUUUUUUUCUAAAGAUUAAAGAUUAAAGCCUAUACGACAUACACUGUAAUAAUAAAUUAAUAAUUAAAUUUUAAACUCUUAUAAUAGUAUAAUAAAUUCUAAAUACAAACGCUUGAACUCAUAUACACCUUCAUACAUAUCUGUAAUACAUAAAUAUCUAUAAUCAUACCUGUAAUCAUACAAAACAAAAUAAACAAAAUGGAAGUUGCAAUCGGAUCAAAUAAUAGUGGUACACCAUUUCAACGUGAAAUACGUGAAUGGCAAAGAAUUGAUCCAAAUACUGGUGCAUUAUUAACUGGACGUUUAGAAGCAGAUCGUUGGAUAAGUGGACCAUUAAAUGCAUAUGGAAAGGUCGUUGAUUCACAAAAUGUAUCACAACCGAAUGGUACACAACAUACGCAACGUAAACAAUUAGAAGUAUUACAAGCACAUACAUCAUCUGGUUCAAUGCAAGUAAUACGUGCACAAACAGUUCAAACAACAUCAUCACGAUGGUCAUCAUCAACAUCAUCAUCAUCAAAAUCAACAUCAGGAUAUAGCAAUAAUAAUAGUAAUAAUAAUAUAUUAUCGUCAUCAUCAACAGCAGCAUCAACAAAAUUAAAAUCAAUAACAUCAUCAUCAUCGGCACAUGCCACUAAUAAAUCAAAUGAAAAUGAAUUUAAUAAUAAUAAAAAUAAUUAUAAUAAUAAUGAAAGCAAUAAAAAUAAUAAUAAUAGUAAUAUAAUAUCAAAAAAACAAUUUAAAUCACCGAUAACAAAUGGUUUUUCAGCUACAAGAAAUGAUUCUAAUUCAAUUAUAAAGAAUAAUACAACAAUAAAAUCAUCAUCAUCUAUAAUAAAUAACGGUUAUAAUAAUAAUAAUGGUAAUAUAAAUGGAGAUUAUAAUCAAAUCCAUCAUAAUAGUCAUCAAGAGAAUAAUUUAUAUAAGAAACAACAACAAAAUCAUGAACAUGAAUACAAUAUUCAUCAAUAUCAGCAACAGAAAUCAUCAAAUCUACAAUCAUAUAAUUUACAAAUGAUGUCUACUACUUCUACUACAGCUACUUCUGAUGCUAUACAAUUAAAUGAAACCACAAAAAUAACAGCAACAAAUAAUAUCAAUGGACAUGACCAUCACCUUAACAGCCAUAACAAUAAUAAAAAUAAUCAUAAAAAUAAUAAUUGUAAUGAUCUUAAUAAUUGUGGUAACAGUAGCAACAUAAAUGAUCAACAUUCAACAAUAUCAACGGUAAUAGCAUCAGCCACCGUAUUUACUAACAUAGAACCAAGCCUUAAGCUUAGUAAUUUAAUGAAGAGCAGUCAAAGCAAUAACAAUGAUAGAAGCAGCCCACAUUCUUUUACUCAAAUAAACAAAAAUAGUAUAAACAACUUUAGUGUUACUUCAGCGGCAACAGCAGCAAUAGCAGCAACAACUACAAUAAAAACACAAAAAGAUCAAAAUAAAUCUAUAUCUAUAGUACAGAAGGUACAACAACAACAUCAACAGCAACAACAACAAAAACAAAAUUAUGAACAACAAAAUCAAUUUGAAAAUGGAAUAACUAGUUCACCAUCAACAUCGACAAUAUCAUCGUCGUCGUCGUCGUCGCCGCCGUCAUCAUCGUCGUUAUUAUUUUCGUCUUCAACAUCAUCGGCGAUAACAUCAGCAACAAUAGCUUCAGCUCAUUCGUUUUGUAACAAUAGCAGUAAUAAUAGAACAAUUCAACAAAAUAGUCAUCAUUUUAAGCAGCAACAAAAAGAUAUACAACAAAAACAACAACAACAAUCGCCACAUAUUAUAAAUCAGCCUACAUUAAUAAAUUCAAAUUCAAAUUGUGUAGGUGUUAAAGGAAUUACUGAAGUUGGAGGCUUUAAGCAUAACAAUAACUCGUCAUCAUUGAUUACAAAUGGUGGCGGUGAUGUUGAAGAUAUGACAAUGGAUCAACGUGGAAAAUAUUCAGAUUUUAAUUUUGAACGGAGCCGUUCAGCUUCAACUGAUGACUUAUCAAUUGAUUGGGAUGAACAUAAUCAAGCAGAAACAGAUGAAACCUGUGAAUGGCGUCGUGUUAGCAAAAUACGCCGUUCAUUCCAAUUCCCUAAAACAAAUAGUCCACCAAAAUCUAGUCCAUUUACCAGGCCAACUGAUUUACCCGAAAAUUGUGUCAGCGUUUCAAGAAUACGUGAAGAAUUAGAAAAAGGCAGAAGACUUAAUGUUGCAAUGAGCCAUAAUAUUGUUGAUUUACAAGCAAUGGAAAAUAUUCUAAAUGGUAGUAAUAUCAAUGAUUAUGACCAAGACUCUUCGAAAUCUUUAAAAAAAUCUCCAUCAUUUUUAACAGCCGAAUCAUUAAAAGAAAUACGUGGAAAAUUGAAAAAGCUUAGUGAUGAGUCAUUAUACAAAGAUGAUUUUGUUACAAGUCAAUCAAUAAAUAAUGAUUCUAAUAGAAUUUCUUCUUUACAAAACCAUGAUUCAAUAUUGAAUGGGAUGAAAAUGUCAAAAGAUUCCCCACUUAGUAGUCAAAUGAUUUUGCAACAAAGUGCUUUUCAAUACUACCCGAAAAAUUCACAGCAAAUAAAUCAUACAACAAACAGUUUGGAAAACCGUGCAACUCGUUUAAAAGAUACAUCUUCUGCCGAUUGGCAUAUUCGCAGAAAAUCUUAUGGUUUUGAAAAAAUGUCACCACCCGAUAAUAAAAUGUUUCGUAUGGAAAACUCAACUGACAGUGGCCUUGGUCGAUCUAGCGAUUUAGGUAAUUUAUCACCAACUGAACAUCGUGGCACUGUUAUAACAUUUAACGAUUCGACUGGUGGUGGUGGUGUUUUAAACGGGACAAAUAAAAAUGCUACGACGGUUAUAUUAAACGGUGAUAAAGAAACAAUAAACUCAAAGCCGUUAGUUCAAAGAAGAUAUCGUGAUCCAAACAAAAUUAAUUCUUCAAGUGACGAAGCUUCUGAAGUUAAACGACAUUCUAUUGCUGUAGACGAAACUAAAUAUGUUCGAGAAAAUUUACGUAAAGUCUUUGAUAGCUCAAAUUCUACUGGUACCACUGUAUCACAUUUAAAUCGUUUAUAUUUAAAAGAAGAUAAUGGAAGUACAUCAAUAUCAUUAGAUGAAUCACAGCGUAAUCAAAGAAAACGUGUAGAGUUCUGUAAAACUGAAGUACAUUUUGCAGCUGAGUCGGGGCGUGUUAAUAUUGUUGAAACGGACGGUAAACCUCCACCAUCUAAUAAUUUUCGAAGACGUCGCAGAAGUUCUGGAAAUGCGUAUAUUGAUGCUAUAACAUCAGGUUUACAAGUAACACAUUUUGGUGAUGAAAGCCGUUCUAAAUCUGAUACGCAAGAGCAAGCUGAACAAAAUAAAAAUGAAAAUUCAAGUUUAUUCGGAGAAAAAAGUAGUGUCACUGUUUCUAUUCCAUCGGUAUUUAAUGAACAAGAUAUAUCAUCUUCAACAACUGCAAAUAAUUAUAUGGGAAAAACUAGUCCAGAUGACGAAGAUCAGGAUGAAAUUUCUUUAAGAGGCAUUUUAAAAAAUAAACCUGUAAAGCCAAAACCAUAUCAUUUAGGUGAAAAUAGUAUUGGCAAUGACAAUUUGUGGGGUGUGAAAUUGAAAUCAGUCACUGGAAAUGAUUUAACAGAAACUGCAAAAUCAAAAUCUUUGAUACGUAAUUUAGAAGAGCAUGACUAUGAGAAAGAAAAAUUGUCAAACUCCAAAUCUGUGGCUGAACACGUUAGGAUUGUUGAAGAACGAAAAGAUGUAAAUGGAAGUUAUUCAACAAAAAUUAAUUUAAAUCUAACAGAUAAACCAUUCACGUGGAACUCAGAAACAUCACCAUCAUCCCCAUCAAUUGAUAUUCAUAAAACUGAGCAAAACGAUACACAUGAGUCUGGAAUACAAAAUCUGAUUCCCAUUAAUGCACGUUUUCGUAUAAUUGAUACUACAGCACAUAACAAUAACACAAUUACAUCUUCACCCACAUCAACAGCAAUGACUAAAACCAUACAAGAUCUAAAAUCGACUUCAUUAAUAAUGCGUACCAUUAGACCAAUACCACAAUACGAACGUCAAAAUAGUGAACCGACUAAGAUAAUUCAUUUGAAUGCAUCUUUUCAACCACAACAACAACAGCAACAACAAUCAUCUCAUUUAACAAAUCUAACUGCCAAUGUUGUUGCAUCUGGUUAUACUACUGCUACUAAAUUGAUCUCAAAUAUGACUGCGAUAACAAAAUCAAAUAGUGCUAAUAAUAUUUUAUCGAAUUCAUCAACUUCUUCAUUUGCUCUUACUGAUACUGCAUCAUCAUAUUUUCGGAAAAAAUAUUCAUCCUCAUUAGACGGUGAAACUGUACUAAAUGAAGAUCAUAUUUAUCGCGGUGGGAAAGUUUUAAAAUCAUCUAGCUUUGAAUCAGCGAUGGUUAAUAAAAAUUCACCUUUGACAACAAUUAAUUUAAUUGAAAAUGCUUCUAAAAGAUUUUCUACAAUUGAUAAUCGUUUAACAGUUGAUUCAACUGAAGAUGAAAUCAAAAAACCAGUAGCAAUACCAAGAAAGAGUUCUACAAGACCACGUUCCAUGGGAAGCUUCCCAUCAAAUCAUAAUUCUCAUUUAGGAAGAAUAUCCGAAAUGAUCCAUAAUAGUGAUUUGGAGAGUGACGAUAGCGUUCAAGCAGCUGAUGAAGAAGUUAAACGUUAUUUAAGUAAUGAACUUUUAGAUCAAUUAGAUGAAAAUGAAAAUUCAAAUGAAGUUGUUGCUAAUAGUUGGAAUCGUUUGAAAGCUGAAAAAUCGACAAUUAAAUCUGAAAAAAUUGACUUCAAAGAUAUUCCCAAGUCUAACGUUAUGUCAAUUAAGCUACAAUCACCACAACCUCAUAAGAAAGAAUUUACAAAUGUGCAUGAAUCUUCGAAAAAUAUGCAAACACCAAUGCCAGUAGCUAAACCACGCACUUCAAUUCAAACUCUUAAAAAUCUAUCUAGUACGAAUGAUUGCAAAAUCAAUAAAAAUCCUAUUAAGGUUUCACCUCUUCCGAGCCAAUCGCAAUUAUCACCGAAUAAAUUACCAUUGGAAACAUUAAAAGUUGAACCAAAUGGUACAAGAAAACUUCGCGAACAUGAACUUUUAUAUUUUGGUGUUAAAAUUAAUAAUGAAGAUGAGUUAAAUCAACAUCAUAUCAACAAUUUUAAUAAUUCAAAAUCACGAAAUCAACCCAUACAAUCUUCAAUUAACGAAACUAAUCGAAAACUUCAAAAUAAUCCGAAAAUCAUCGAAGAGACAACAGGAAAUCCAUCGAAAUGGAAAUUAGCAUGUGAUAAGCCAGAUUUGCUAAGGCAUAGCCCAAUGGAAAAAACUCAAAAUAACGUUCCAAUGAUCUUAAAUCCUAGGGAUCAAAAAUUAAACCAGAUCACAAAAACAAAUGGAAUUUUGAUGCAAGAUGAAGAUACAGAAGAAGAUGAAGAUGAAGACGAAGACGCUUACGUUGGUCCAAUAUAUGAAAAUUUAAAGCUUCCUUACCCUUAUAAUCGGAAAGAUGAUUUGAUAAGAGAUGCAAUGAUUUUAAGUGAGAUGAAUAAAGCUGCCGAUCAGACAAUGAAGACUGUAAUCGAUGCUCAUAAAAUUCAAAAACGGCGAGAAAGACGUCGAUCUGAACAACUUCAUCAAUCACAACCACUUGACACAAUUGAAGAAAAAAUGUCACCAUCUUCUAGAUUAAGUCAUAAUCAACACGAAUCGGAAAAAUCUUAUUUGCAACAAACAGAGAAUUCCCAACGUCGCUCAUCAUUGAGCCGUCGAUCAUCCUCAGCUUCAUCUACAGGAAGCUUCUCUGAUUCUGGUUCGAUAUGUGGUCGAUCAUCAAGAUCUAGAUCAAAGGAAAAACUUCUGGAUUCAACUGAUAGUCCAAAUAAACUUAAAUCAAUAUUGGUCAACAAAGUUAGACCGAGAACUUCUAGACCUUCAAAAGAGUGUACAUCAAUAAAAUCUCCAAUUGCUGUAAGUGUUCGUCGAAUCAUCGAACAUCGAUCUAGCAGUCAGGAGAGUCAACGUUCACAUAAGAAUUCCAACGAAAAUUUACAAAUAGUACCACCACAAAAAUUAGAGCGUCGUCAUAAACGUCAAACAUCUACACCUACAAAAGCAACUACAACAUCAUCUUCGGAGAAAUAUCAUAAAAAUUCAAGUGAAUUAUCAAGAUAUAGAUCUGAUCGUUCCAGCACAGAGAGUAAUGAGAGGCGUAGAACUAGCAAAUCUUCCCGAAAUCAAACAGGAAUUUCAUCACCUGAUGGCCAUAACAGAAAAACACAUAGUAAUGGUCGCACAACAACAAAUUCUGAUCCAGCGAAAAGGAUAAAUUCUAGAUCCAAUAAAGAAGCAUCAAAUAGUGAAAACCAUAAAACGAUUAGGAGUUCUGCAAGAAUAACUAAAGAACUACGUGAUAGCGAAGGAAGAUCUGCAAGUGAACAUCGUCGAAAUAGAAGUUCCCACGAUCGAAAAGAGACUUCUGAACGCCACGUUAGUUCAAGAGGUCUCAAGACAGAUAAAGAAGAUUAUCUUCGUAGCAGUACAAGAUCAGACCGCGCUACCCGUGCUACAUCUUUAGAUAAUUUACGAAGCUCUAAACGAUCACAAAAAUUAGAAGAGUCAAAUAAAAUUACUCGAUCAAAAGAUAAAUUAUCUUCAAAUGGUCAUGAACAUCAUAAAUCAUCUUCUACAAAUAAAACAUCGAUUCAACAUGGUACUAAAACUGCUACAAUACCACCCAUUACAUCAACAACAGCGUCAAACGGACAUCAACAUGGAACAACGUAUGUAUCUGAAAACCCUCUUAUUACAAGAAUAAUACCACCGCCAAGAAAAAAACGUUUGAAAAAUAAUUUAAAUAGUAACAAUAAUAAUAACAGUAAUAGCAAUAAUAGUAAUAAAUCUAAAGCUCAGGCACUUUAUGAUAAUUUGAAAAAUAUAAAUAAAAAAUUAUCAAAAAAUUUAUCACCACAAUACACAAAUUCAACUACUUCAUCAUUUGUAUUUUAUCCAUCAUCUGCAACGACAUCUGCACCAUUAAAAAUAUCAAAAUCAAAAAAUGAAACACAUGACAGACCGUUGUUAAGUCCAAGUCCCGAUGAUUUUUUAAAAAUUUAUGACAACGAUGAAGAUGAUGAUAAUGAUUACGUUAAAAUUAAUAAUAGUAAUGAUAAUAUAUAUUAUGAUCUUAUCAAUAAUGACAAUAACGAUAAUGAUAAAUGUGAUAAAUUUCAAAAAGAAUUAUUCAACAAUUUGGAACAAAUGAAAAUGAAUCAAAAUUUAUCAUUAAAUACAAAAGACUCUGACAUAAUCGAUUAUUAUUUUAAAACGAAAAGAGAUCGUGAUGGUAAAGCAAAAUAUGUCAUGGUACAAAAUAAAUCAUACCAUCAUUUACACCAUCACCAUCAUCAUCAUCAUCAAGGACAACAACAACAACAACAUCAUCAUCAACAUCAAAGACGACAAUCUCAAUGUGGUAUUUGUACAUGUUCAUAGCCAAUGUGAAUUUGAUUUUUGAAAUAAAAUAUUUAAGAAAAAGAAAAAAAGAAAGAGAGAUUAUGAAAGAAUUUUUUUUUUUUUUUUAAAUUUAUAAUUAAUUUUUUUUUUUUCAAAACCUGAAACCAAAGAGAGAAUUGAUCUGGUUGUAUAGAAACUUGUAGAAAUCGAAAAAGAAAUGUAAAUUUAAAAACAAAAUAAAAAAAAAAGUCCAAUAAAACAUUCUUCUAAAUUUAUAACAACAUCAUCAGAUUUAUCGUCAUCAACAGCAGUAACAGCAAAACAUAAAGAACAACAACGACGAAAAAAAAGUAAGGAACGUCAAAGUCGAAAUUAAAAAAAGUGUCAAAAUGUGACAAGUGUGAUAAAAAUGAUCGAAUUACAUAUAUUUAAAAAUAUUAUCGAAUCAAGUGUCAAAGAUAAUAAGAGCAUAUAAUUUUAUUUUUUUUAAUAUUUUGUAUUUAAAUUUGAAUUAAUUUUUUAUUAUUUUUUGGAUUAAAUCAAAAAAGGAAAUAUGAAAAGAAAAAAAAAUAACAUUUUUUUUUUUGUGAUUUUUAAUUUUUUAAAUAAUAUUUUUAAUUAUGAAUAAUUAAUUACUUUUAUUUAAAAUAGAAUAAACUAUUUAUACGUUAAUUUAUAAUUUUUUUUUUUUUUUAAUUUCUUGUCUACUAUAUUUUACUUAUAUAAUAAUCAUUUAUUACAUAAAUUUCUUUUAUUGUUCUUUAAUUAAUUUUUUAAAAACAUAUUUACAAUAUGAAUUUUUAAAAUAGGAAAAAAAAAAACAAAUAAAAAAAAUGCUAAAAAAAACAAAUAACAACAGGCCGUUUUCCAGUAUAUCAAAUGCUUGCAAAUGACAUUAGUCAUAAAUUCCAGCACUGCAUGACUUAGACUUACCAAUAUACGUAGCAAAUGCAACUUGUUAUUAAUAAGUGAAUGACGAAGAAAUAAUUUUGAAAUUUUAAAUUUUCCAAUUUAUUGAAAUAAUUAUUUAAAAAAAAAAAUAGAUGAUUAUCAUUUUGUAAAAUCAAGCGAAUAACGUAAUUAACAUGAUCGUCAAAUUUUUGACAUACACUGUGGAAACGGCCGCGAAGUGCCGGCUUUUUUUCUUACUUGAAUAAUUCAAUUCAAACUGGCUGCGAUUUUUAUUUAAUAAAAUUAAUUAAUUAUGUAGUUACAAAAAAAAAAAAAAAUUAAUGAGACUAAAACCAUAAUAAACCGUUUUUUUUUUUUUUUGUAUUAUUAGUAUUAACUAACGGAAGAUGUCGCUAUAUAUUUUUUAUAUUGAAUAAUGUUUUUUUUUUUAUAUAAACGCGUAUACGAUGUAAAUGUAAAAUGAAUUUGCAUGAAUGUAUGUGGAGUUUUUUUCUUUAUACAAUAUCGUAUUAUAAAAAUAAUGUAAUUUUUAAAUUUAAGUUCCUUUUAAUGUGUAUAAUUUUGAAAAUAAAUUAAAUACAUAUUUGGUUUUUACUAUGCCUCUAACUAAGCACUUUUAUUUCAACGUUA